rnacentral:tRNA from 1 species
ACGGACGUAGCUCAGCCUGGUAGAGCGCAAGACUCAUAACCUUGUGGCCGGUGGUUCAACUCCACCCGUCCGUACCA